rnacentral:rRNA from 1 species
CCCUUAGAUGUCCUGGGCCGCACGCGCGUUACACUGAUGCAUUCAACGAGCUUAUAACCUUGGCCGAGAGGCCUGGGCAAUCUUGUUAACGUGCAUCGUGAUAGGGAUAGAUUAUUGAAAUUAUUAAUCUUGAACGAGGAAUUCCUAGUAAACGCAGAUCAUCAAUCUGCAUUGAUUACGUCCCUGCCCUUUGUACACACUGCCCGUCGCACCUACCGAUUGGAUGGUCCGGUGAAGCCUCGGGAUUGUGGUUCUUGCCGCUUUAUUGUAGCGUGACCGCGAGAACUUGUCUAAACCUUAUCAUCUAGAGGAAGGUGAAGUCGUAACA